rnacentral:lncRNA from 1 species
UCCUUUAUUUUCUGGCCCUUUUCUACUAUGUUCCAUCUUUUCUUAUUCCAUACCCUUUCCCUAACAUGUCAAAUAAUGAGACUAAAAACAAUUCUAUUUAAUUUUUGACAGCUUGUUUUACUCAAAAAACUUUGAAGAGUAAAAGAGGAUGGGUUUACAUGUUAUGUUUCCUGAAAAAAAAAAUGUGUUCUCUUGAAUUUUCCAGUGAUACCCUUUUUUAUUUUUUUGGGAGCUUAAGUUUUACUAGAUUUUUUGUGCACAGAAAUAAUCGAAGUUCACAAUUUUAGGCUAGGGUAUUUCUGUCAGCACCAGCAAACCUGGCAUUGUUGGACUUCUUACAGGGGGGCCAGAAGCUGCAGUCUGUUCUCCCUCAGUACUCCUCUAUCUUUGAGUAAACCCCACUGCUUCCUUGAUAACCUGCCCCUCCACACUCCUCCUGUUUAUUUAUAUUUUCAUGUAUUCAUUCUAUCAACAAACAUUUUUGAAGAGACUUUUAUGUGCCAAGUACAGUGCUAAACAGAUGAGAAAUAACAGGCAUAGUCUUGAAGUUAGCUAAAGGAGCGAAUAGACUCAUGGAGAGAAAGCCAACUGUUCCACUUUAGUGCAGAGUUGUUAAAGGAUAUAACGGGGUAAUUAAGUGACACCACAGGGACUUUUAGGGGAUGCCCAACUUAGUGUUGUGGGGUUGAGGGGAGACUUCCCUAAAAAGUAACACUUGAGGUUGAGGGCUGUUAGCAGAAGUAGGAGAAAGCCAGGCAACUAGGGAUAUUUCCUUCUAACUUCUAUCUCCUCCCAUGCACGGAUUAUUCUGGUCUUGGCUGAGAGACUUCUCUUCCUAAUGUUCUGCAGUCAUCCUGGCUGACUUCAACAUCCAUGCAGAAGGCCCAACCAACACCCAAACUUCUAUUUCACCAUUUCCUCAACACCAGUGACCUUUGCCUGUUUUCUCUAUCAAAAUAUGAACAUGCCAAUGGCAAACCCUUUUUCAGCCAAAAUGUAUUAGGAUUUAUGUAAUUGAAUUCUCUGAAUAUUAAGCUAUGUUUAUUUUCCUUCUCUGCCCCCCCCAAAUUAACUUUUCUGAUUUUUCUUAUACCAUUAAAUUUCUUCAUCUCAGAAUCUCUGCUUUUAGAGGGAGAGGAUCUCUUACUUCUUUGCCCAGUCCUUAAAUGUUUCUUAUGCUUAGAAAUCUAUUAUACUUCUUCCAACUCACUCUACAUAUUUUCCAGAGAAUGGAUCAGUAGUGCUCUACAUGCUGACAUCUUCCAAAUAUUUAUUUAUAGCUGGGAUUCCUCCCUUGAAUUGUCAACCUCUAAUUAUAUAAAUUGCUUGGGUAUUUCUCUUGCACAUAUCACUGGUGACUUAGAGACAAUUUGUCUAACUUGAACUCAUAAUCUUCUUCCCUUCCCAACUUUGUUAUACCUUACUUUACAUCCUCAGUUGUUCCCUUUCUCUGAAAGAUGUCACUAUUGACCUUGUAGUUCAAUUCGGAAAUAUAUAACCUUUUCUCCCAAUACUCAUAUGGAAUUAAUCAUCAAGUUCUCCCAGGACUUGCCUAUUAAUAUAUCUAGAGGCCAGCUACUUCUCAGCAGUCCUGGCACUACUCUUUUAGUUUGAGUAACCACCCCUUUUUGUUAGUUUUGUGUCAUUCUAUUUGUAACAGGUCCAUUUUUGUUCCCAUUUAUUCUUUACCUUUCUUGUAAGAUCAUUACAGUUCCCCACAACAUUAACCUCAGCCUUGGCGAUUUGGCUAUCUUUGGUUACUGUAAAGAGAAUUGGUAUAUAUGGUUUUAAAUUAGAAACUUGCUAUCCCAUGACUUAGCCAUAGAGUUACCUUUUUAUUGUAAGGUAAAACAUAGAUGCAGAAAACACAGACACAGAUACAGAAAACAAAAUAUAAUAAGUAUGUGACUAAGAAAAAAAAACAUUUGUAAAAAAAAACCGAGAUCAAGAAAUAGAAUUAGACUAGGGACUUGAGGCCAUGAGAAGGUGGCUGUCUGCAAGCCAGGAAGAAAGAUCUCACCAGAAACCAACUGUGCUGGCACUUUAAUCGUGGACUUUGAGCCUCCAGAACUGUGAGAAAAUAAAUUUCUGUUGUUUAAGCCACCCAGACUGAAGCAUUCAGCUAUGGCAGCCCAAGCAGAUUGACACACAUGGGCGGGUAGGUAACCAAAGCAGACUGUAUGACUGUAUUAGAGUAUAGGGACAUUGAGGGAGAUACAUGAACUCUAUUUUUCUGGGCCAACCAGCUUUAAGAAUCAAACUCUGGAACUACUAGAAGCCACUAUUCCUGGCACAUAGAAAAACCUGCUAAUGUAUAAUAAAUAUAUCAAAGCUGAGGGAUGGUGAUGAGUGGAUGAGGGAUAGUGAUGAGUGGAUGAGGGAGGUGAGGAGGAGGAGAGACAGAGAGAGAAGCAGAUGCAUUGUUUGAAAUUCCAGAUGCAGUCAUGUCAGAAGCCACAAUGCCCACUGGGUUUCUUAGUUACGCGAGGCAAUAAAUCCCCUUCCCUUCUCUGCUUCCUUCUUUAAAUUUAAUGAUUCUUUCUUCUUAUACAUAAUGAUUCUGUUUUAAUGAGGUCUUCCUCAUAUACCCUCAGUAAGAACAUGAGUGAAGGCAGAAAAUGAGCUCACAAGAGCAAGAGCAGUAGGCAGCUAUUUGAGAAGGGUAGGUAAGCAGGCUUCAGAACAUGCCCUUACAUGGUAUUUAGAUUACUGAAACAAGGGGAGAGAAUGGUGAGUGGGUAAAAAGAAAUCAAAGAUUCAACUAAGAUCAGACUUUAUGUCUACAAAAGAUCAUUUCUGGUAGUUCUCCAAAUACAUAUCAGUAUUAUUUAUUUAAAUUACUUGAAACCCACUUCUUUAGGCAUUGUUAUUAAAGAGAAAAAGCUCCUUUGUCAGCAUUCUUUACACCAUUAAUAACCUUCCAUACCCUGUUAUACUCUCCCUUGGUUAAGGCCACUAAAUAAUUGCUUUAUUUGCAUAUUUGUACCAUGUCCACCUCAUUAUGGAUAAUCAAUGCACCUUAUUAAUAGCAUCAGUAUCAAAAAAGAGAGAAAAAUCAUAUAAUUUACCAAUGACAAAACAAAUUUACCAAGAUCUGUGGUAAUUUCCUUCUAAUUCCUAAGUCAAAGCACUGACUUUGAGACAGUGCAUAUGGUUUUUAGACCUCUACAGGAGACAAGAAAUUAUAAAAUUCACAGGCAAAUUGUGGCUACUGCACUAGCUAACAUUUAAUCUGUGAUGACUACAUACUCCUCGUGACUUUAAGAGCUUUAAGUAUUUUAACUCAUUUAAUUCUUAGAACAUUGCUAUGAGUUCUGUAAUACUAUUGUUGUUUACCGAAGAGGAAACUGAGGCACAGAAAGCCCAAGCUCUUGCACAAGGAUCAGAAGGGGGUAUAACCAGAAUUUGUUUCUCAGCAUCCUGACCAACAAUUAUUUUACCUACUAAACAGGGAAGCCUUUCAAAUAUAAUCCAGGGUAUCCGCUUCAUUUUACAACUAAAGAAAUGAAGGCUGGGUAAGGAUAAAGGACUCACAAAGAUCGUGUGUUUAGGUAAUGAUUGAACUAUGACAGAAACUCCCAUUCUCCAGAUUUCCAAUUCUGAACUCUCCCUUCUCUGUCUAUAAUAAAGUUCUCCAAACCAAAAAUAUAUAGUGACUUCAAUCAUCUAGGGACCUAACAUUUCUUACCAUUUUGAAGUGGCUUUGUAAUGUUUAACUUGGCUAGUCUGAACUUCGUUUUCUGGAAUUUCCUUUCUUGUAUGCUUCUGUUUAGGAUGGACCACAAAGACAUUCUUCUGUGAGACUUAGAGAAAGGAAGCAAAACAGGCACCAUGUUGUUGCUCACAUAUGUUGCUGCUGAUCUUUCAACUGACCUCAUUGGCAUGAGGCUACAGCUGGGCCUGAGACUGCUCUAUAUUUUCUUAAAUUGUCCUUCAGUUUCUUUGAUUCUUGGGCCAAGUGUGUGUGUUUAACUUCAUGAUGAAAAACUUCAACUACUUCAGAUCAUCCGUGCCAAAAAUUUCAGAGGCAGUGAGAACAUACACAGGUUUCAAUGUAAAUUCUCACUGGGUUUCAGCCUAUGCCUGUAGCUUCCAGCUUCUUCUAAAUCUCCCUGACUUUACAUAUGUCUUUCAUUACUGGCUUCCCAGCCACUCCAGUCAUUAUAUAAUGGGCUCAUAAAUAAAGUGGCCAUCAUGGCAGGAAUCAAGGUUAUCUAUGGCAUCACCAACAUGAAUUUUCUUUCACCCAAGCCAAUAUAGCUACAGCCAUUGCCGAAUACCCCGAAUUGCAGGAAUGGGGCCAUUCCUGCAAUAUGGCCCCAUUUCCUGAAGGAUCAGCCAGCUACCUGUUGCCAGGUUAAUUACAUUGGGCCACUUCUGUCAUUGUAGGCACAGCAUUUUGUUUUCACUGGUCAAGCUAUUAAUCUGGAUAUAGAUUUGCCUUCUUACUUGCAGUGCAUCUUCAAACUGUCCACAGAUUUACAGGAUAUCUUAUUCACCAUAUUCCACAUAGCAUCAUUUCUGACCAAGAAACUCAUUUCACAGCAAAUAAAGUGCAGCAAUACACCCAAACCCAUGGAAUUUACUGGUCUAAUCAUAUUCUCUAUUGUGCUGAAGCAGCUAGCUUGAUGGACUGAUGAAAUGGCCCUUUCAAGUCUUAUUCAUGACAGCAUCUGGGUGGCAACAUAAUGCAGGGCUAGAAAAAUGUCCUCCAGGAUAAAAUAUGUGCAUUAAAUCAGCAUAUGGUAUAUGACGUUGUUUCUCUAACAACUAGGAUUUACAUAUCUAGGAACCAAGGGGUAGAAAUAAGAAUGCUUCCUCUGAACAUUAUCCCUAGCAAUCCAAUAACUGGAUUUUUGUCUUCCAUCCUUACCACUUCAGUUUCUGCUGGUCUAGACAUCUGGGUUCCAAAAGAAGAAUGCAUCUCCCAGGAGACAUGACAAUGAUUCCAUUCAACAGGAAGUUGAGACUGCCACCUGAACACUUUGGGCUCCUCAUGCCUCUGAAUCAACGGGCAAAGAAGAGAGUUAUAGAUCCUAACCACCCAGGAGAAAUUCGGUGGCCACUACACAAACAGACUUUUCUGACUCUGCGGCCAGGUGUUUGUAUUUAACUCCACGGUGAGGAGACUCAUCUUCUGACGGACCUAACCUAUACCAUCAAGCUCCAGCACCACAAGCAAAGACAAAAACCUUGCGGAAACUAUUUAACUAACUCCCACAAUUGCAUAAGGUAUUGUUAUCAAAUACGAAAGGCUCCAAAUGGCUUUUAUUAUGCCCCGUUAGUGGUGAUACUGAUGGCUGUCCCACCGAUGGUGCUGCUACAAAUGACAGUCAAACAUCCACAAAAGCAAUCUUUCCAAUGUUACUCAAGUUUACUCAAGUUUACUUGUCUUUUGUAAUAAAGUUGGCAUAUUAAAAAAUUAUAAACACAAAUUGCUCAAAUGAAAGCAUCUUGAAUAGACUUCUCAACAGAGGUUUUUUUUUUUUUUUCUUUGCAUGCUUCAGUGAUAGUGAUUCUUUUUAUCAGUCAAAGUAAAAGUAAAUCAAUAUUUAUGUCAUCCAAGAAAUCUGACUAAUGCUAGGAAUUACUGAAUAGGCAAUUACAUUUCAAAUGCAAAAUUUAACAAAAUAGUGGUAUAAUGCAGAAAGCAAAUGAAGUAGCAAUACAGUAAAACCAAGUGCAUUUCAAAGAGCUCAGUGAUUUGAAGCUUUUCCACAAUCUGUUUUCAAAACCUUCUUUUGAUAUUCAUAAAUUCAAAUUAAAUAAUAGAAUUAAUGAAAGAAAUAAAAAAGUCUUAAAGAUAGGAUCUUUCAACAUAAUAUUCUUGAGUAGUUUAUGAUUAUAAACAGAGUGGCAGCUUUAUCUACUUUAACAGUGAAUUUCAAGGAACAAGAUUGAAAAGUAUGUUCACGAGGAAAUAUGUCAAGUUCAUUAAAUACUUAACAUAUCAUAGUUUUUUUAUACACAAGCAUACAUAUUUCUCCCUUACUUCAUAUUCUAACAUACAUUUAUUAACCUAAACAUCUCCUCUAUAGUGGAACUGCAAGAAGAAUAUGAUGCAAUAAAGUCAUUUUUAUUUGAAUUUAUUUACUUAGUGAUUAUAAUAGUCAAAUUAAUACGAUGAAUUACUUCUGUAACAUUUAUCACAGGACUUAGAAUCCAUAAGUAACAGAAAAACUAUGCUGAGUCAUACUGCUCUCUAUAUAAUUUCACUUAUAAAUUUGCAUAUUUCUAGAUUUGUAUGUAAAUCAGUAUUUGGUCUACACAUUGAUGCUUCUAAGAUUCCAAGUCACUUUUACUGUCUAGAAGAAAACAUAUGAUAAAGUAUAUUUUACUUACACAUCCAUUCCACCAAUAAUUUUUUUCAAUGUUCUAUUAUUUGACAGGGGCUUUUCCUGGCAUGUAAGUUACUGUAUUAAUCAGUCUUCAUGCUGCUGAUGAAGAUAUACCCGAGACUGGGCAAUUUACAAAAGAGAGAGUUU